CCUACGGGGCGCAGCAGUCGCGAAAACUUCGCAAUGGGGGCAACCCCGACGAGGGAAUUCCAAGUGCUAGCACUUUGUGUUAGCUGUUCUCCUGUCUAAAAAACAGGAGGAGUAAGGGGCGGGUAAGACGGGUGCCAGCCGCCGCGGUAA
rnacentral:rRNA from 1 species